AAGUCGUAACAAGGUUGCUGUAGGGGAACCUGCGGCAGGAUCACAACGUAAGAAACAUGAUCUAUGGUUCUAUGCGAUGCGCAAGCAUUGCAUUGCAUCAUGAUGCGAGGUCGUAAGACCUCGUUGAAGGAAUCUUCUAAUAAGAUCUUUGAUCUUAUUUAAGACCGACACAUGCUAAACAUGCAUCUGAGAUGAUGAGCAUGAGAAGUGCUCAGCAUCUCGGUGCGUCACCCCGAGAACUGUAUUGACCUAGCAGAGAGCAGGUGAAGUGGUAUGAGUUGUUAAGACUCGAUAAACUUAACUGCGCUCUCUGCAGUGGAUCAACAACUAAACAUCUUUAUCCUUCUCGUGUGUUCCAGUCAUCACGGCACGGUAUAUUACCAAUACUUUAUUACUUACAACUUUGAACCACGGAUCUCUUGGCUCUU
rnacentral:misc_RNA from 1 species